UUUAAAUCGUGUUUGCUGCAGUUAAUUAUAUUUCACAGCUAAUGGCGAAAUGUCAAAAUAAUUUUAAAACGCCCGCCACAGUUCGGAGCAAAAGUUGUCCAGCCGAUGGGAUGAUAGGAAUGGUAGUUCCAUUGUGGAGUCCAAUGCAUAAUUGACAGGCGGUUGCCUACUGUCAGCGCCGAUUAAGGUGCAAAGCCGAUUAAUUAUAAAUUAAAUUUAUGAUAAAUAAAUGCUGUAAGUCAUCCCACUGCACCAACACGACUGGAGGCAAGAGUCGCGGCUAUCAUUCGAAGGGAAUGUGAAUGGAAAAGGUGUAAUACGCACAUAUAGCUGAGAAUGGAAAUCUGAUUUGAGUCUGACAUGCUUUAAAGAUAUACGCAAUCAGUAAAACAAACUCCAAUAAAUUUCUGUAAACAAAGGUCCCAAAAGGAGCUGCAUCUCGUGUGGCAUUCACGCCUAAAUCGACGGACAUUUGCCAUUUUCUGUGAGCGCACUUUUAAUCAACAAACUGAUGAGGCAACAUCGGCCUUUGUAACGGUAUCGGCAGACGUACAUGCCUACCAUGGACACGCCCACUGGUGGCAACACAAUGGAGUAGGGUACCCAGAAUAUGCAAUUUCGUCAGAUCGGCAGUUUUGUGAGCAAUCAAUUUCGAUGCAAAUUCACUUGUACUUGACGACUCCAUGAAUGAGGCGAGACUCUGCGGCCGACUCCACGUGGCGUAUGAGUGAUGUUGAAUAAGCAGGAACGCAUCACCAGGAUGGAGACACAAGAAGACAACACGCGUCAUCAUCACUCAAUUUAUUGAGAAUGAUCCCACUCUCCAGUAAAGAAGAUGCAACUAUUCCAAAUAAAUACCAGAUCAUACUACAACAGAACAGAAAUCGCAAUGAUACUCCAAAACAAUCACUUUCCUGUUCGGGUUACCUACCAGACGGCUGUAAUUUUGUAAGCCACCAUCAAUUAAAUAUUUUAUAACCCGAUUAUUGAACAACAAAAUACUGUACAAGCAAACAAAGGAAAAUUAAUUUCACUCUUAUUUAUUUUCAAUUGUUUGUUGCUUUGCGGACAAAAUAUGGCCAAGACCAGGGUCCAUGUGCGUGAAUAGCAUUAAACUUAUGCGCAUUAAUUUUAUGCCUCGUCCCGCCGGGAUGGACCAUACGGGAAUGGUCUGGACUCUACUGGCAUAUAAAAUGCGCUUUAACUUAAUUUUUAUUGUUGUCGAGAUUUUCCCACUCUCUCUCAUCAUCAUCGCCACCAUCAUCCGAGCCGCGGCAUGUGUGGAUUGCAUUUUUAUUUUAAUUAAAAAGUCUCCGUCACAAAGCGAAUCGGUCGAGUCCAUUCCCCAUCAAUUCAAGUGGCCAUCGUCCGAUGCCAAAUGUAUUUAUGGCUUCAUUUUGUUUACUUGUUUGAGACUCCUGGCCGGAGUCCUCUGCCAAAGUUUCCCGCCUACCCACAUGUUUGUGGAUUAAAGAGGCUUUAGUUAUAAAUGCGAUAAAAAAAUAUAUUUUUGCCUCUUGUCGAUUAUCGUUCAGGCUAUCGUAGUAUCACUUGAUUGAAUCGAAUUGAUUAAAUUCUUAAUUAAAUGCACCCGGUCUCCGGUGGAUGGAGUCGCUGCACUUUCCCUUUCCUCGCACUCAUUAAGCAGAUCUCUGUUACAACUUCUCCAUACCCUAUGGCAGAGGAAGAUACUUAAGUUAUUAAAAUGGAUAAAAGACCAUUCCAGAGGAAUAUCUCGUACAAUAUAGAUUAUAAAUAAUUAAAACUAAAAUUAUGAUAUAUAAUUGACAUGAUCGAUUUCGCUUCUUAAAGUCAAAAAUUAGAUGGGUGAAAGUAAACAAAAAAUAUGUCACUAUGAUAUAAAAACCACUGAAGGGAAAACAUAUCCCCUAUUGUAUUUAUAUUAAAAACUAUUCCUAUUAAGGACAAUAUUUUUUCAGGUCUCCAAGCUGAGUCCUUUUAUAUAUAUUCACUUGCUUAUGGAAUCCAAAAUACCUGAAGGUUAUACGUCUUUGUAGGACAAAACAAUAUGUUCAAAAUUAUUGGAGUGAAUUUAGUUUAAACUGAUUUAUUUUUUGAUGUUAUAUUUACAAAGCUCUCAAUGUCCAAAUCUACUCAAUUUAAGUUUUCUCUUUCAAUAAUGACUCAGUUUCUCUUAGCACUAAUGAAGAGCACGAAUUUCAGUUCAGACUCAAGAUAUUCUCUUGAGCUAAAAUAAGGUACUCGAAACAGACACUCCGAGCAAAACUCAUUUGGAUGCUUUGCCACUCGGCAGCCUUUUCCAUACCAUACAUUUCAGCGCCAGCUUGCAAAUAUUGCAACACCGCCAUGUGGCAUGUAUUGAGAUAUUAUUGCACCCCUAUACACAAGCACACACACACACAGAAAAUCACACACUCUCGCCCAGAAGCACGCAUGAAUGCAGGUGACUUUAUUAUUUUUCCUAAUAAUGAUCUAUGGCCAUGUGCGCCGGUAGCACAAAAAGGCGAAAAUUUGAAUUUCUGUGCUAUAAAAGGAAGUUAAAUAAGGAGAUCGAAGAAAAUGCGUGCUUUCUGGGAUAAAUUGGGAAAACAAACCACAACAAAGCCGCAAAUUAACACAAUUGAAUCUUUAUCAUCCUAGUGACAGAAUGAAUGGGAAAGACAAUUUCAAUUAAGUACUAUUAAUUUUUGCUACGAUUUAUUAAUUAUAAUCCACAAUUUGCGUAUGUUUUUACCUAAACAGCACGAAAAUAAAAUCGAGGAAAUAACAACCACUGGAACCUAC